AUAAAAGUGAAAUUUAGAGAAAUGCACACCUAAAACAGAUUGUAGGGGGCCUACAAGGGUUGGCUGAAACAGGAUUUCCCAGGAUCCAUCUGUGCUUAUUCUUUUCUAGCUUAGGGAGUAUUUGGAACAGGACCUGUAGCCUGAUAGACAUUCAACAAACAGCAGCUGCCAUUACUGUCAUGGAUCACUUGGUGGCCUCAAUUCUACUUUGGAGGUAUAGUGGCAGAAUAUACUAAACAUCAUCUUAGGAUUCCAGAAACCGCAUGUAUCCCAACUUCCUCUUCCUAAUUGGUUCGAUAUAGACAAGUUACUGAACUUCUCUGAGACCCAAUUUUCUAAUCUAGAAAAUGGAGGAAAUACCUGUCCUGUAUGUCUACAUAUUACCCAGGAUUUUAGCAAGGUGUCCUGGACUCCAGCUGUGUUCAGCCUUCAUCAGAGCCAGAUAUAGUUGGAGGCAGUAACAUGGUGACACAUCAAAAUCAAGUCUCCAGAAGCUGAAUCUGAACAACACAAGGAACAAGUAUCCCAGAAGGUAAAAUGCUUAUUACAUUAUUCUGGAUUCUCCAUUCAUAUUGAAGAACAGAGCCUAAUAUUCUGCGUUAUGUUCGUAGUCGUAUUUGUGAUCAUAUCAUUAGUAGGGGAAGAAGAGAAGAGAAUCCAUGUGUUAGCAUUCAGUUAGGUAAGUAGAGCUACUAUGAGUGAUAUGGAAUAAGGGGAUGUAAGAAGAAAUUAGACCAUCCACAAUUGUGGAAGCCAAUGAAAAUGUCUAUGAAAAUUGCCUCUCUGUCUGGUAGGAGCUUGAAAUGCUGUAAAUCUUCAGAGCCAGUAGUUAGGAAGAAAACCUGGACACAAAGUUGAAAACAGUGAGGAUAAACUGUAAUCCAUAAGGACCGAAUGUAAACAGCAUCUGUCUUUGAAUGCCUACAACCUUGCUGACUUCAGCAAUCUGCAAAAAGGUGGCACCCUUACACCUGGCUUAGGACUCAAAAAAACUGAAAGACAGACUUGGUGGAAGCUGGAAGAGCUAUGGAUCCAAAUGCUUCCCCACACCAGCAAGAUGAGCCAGCAGAUUAAUAAAGCUAUCCGUGCUCUACAAUGGCCCCUGGCCCUAUAUCUAUGUUCAGAGCUCAAUAGCUGCUGCUUCACUUUUGCCUUCCAAAUCUCAUGCAAAUUUCUU